CCUACGGGAGGCAGCAGUGGGGAAUAUUGGGCAAUGGGCGCAAGCCUGACCCAGCAACGCCGCGUGAAGGAAGAAGGCUUUCGGGUUGUAAACUUCUUUUGUCUGGGACGAAGCAAGUGACGGUACCUGACGAAUAGGCCACGGCUAACUACGUGCCAGCAGCCGCGGUACUACGUAGGUGGCAAGCGUUAUCCGGAUUUACUGGGUGUAACGGGCGUGUAGGCGGGACUGCAAGUCAGAUGUGAAAACCACGGGCUCAACCUGUGGCUUGCAGUUGAAACUGUAGGUCUUGAGUACUGGAAAGGCAGACGGAAUUCCUAGUGUAGCGGUGAAAUGCGUAGAUAUUAGGAAGAACACCAGUGGCGAAGGCGGGCUGCUGGACAGCAACUGACGCUGAGGCGCGAAAGCGUGGGGAGCAAACAGGAUUAGAUACCCUGGUAGUC
rnacentral:rRNA from 1 species